AGAUUAAACUGAAGAGUUUGAUCCUGGCUCAGAUUGAACGCUGGCGGCAUGCCUUACACAUGCAAGUCGAACGGCAGCGCGGGGCAACCUGGCGGCGAGUG
rnacentral:rRNA from 2 species